AACGAACGCUGGCGGCGCGCCUAAUACAUGCAAGUCGAGCGAGAAGACGUAGCAAUACGUUUGUAAAGCGGCGAACGGGUGAGGAAUACAUGGGUAACCUACCCUCGAGUGGGGAAUAACUAGCCGAAAGGUUAGCUAAUACCGCGUACGCUCCUUGGACUUCGGUUCAGGGAGGAAAGCGAUACCGUGGGUAUCGCGCUCUUGGAUGGGCUCAUGUCCUAUCAGCUUGUUGGUGAGGUAACGGCUCACCAAGGCUUCGACGGGUAGCUGGUCCGAGAGGACGAUCAGCCACACUGGCACUGCGACACGGGCCAGACUCCUACGGGAGGCAGCAGUAAGGAAUAUUGCGCAAUGGGCGAAAGCCUGACGCAGCGACGCCGCGUGGGGGAGUGAAGGGUCUUC
rnacentral:rRNA from 1 species